rnacentral:rRNA from 1 species
AAGGUGAUGAAGUUGCUGAUGCCAUACUUCCAGGAAAAGCCUCUAAGCUUCAGAUUAUACCGAAUCGUACCCCAAACCGACACAGGUGGUCAGGUAGAGAAUACUAAGGCGCUUGAGAGAACUCGGGUGAAGGAACUAGGCAAAAUCGUACCGUAACUUCGGGAGAAGGUACGCUCCUAUCUGUGAUGAGACUUGCUCUCUAAGCGGACGGGAGCCGCAGUGACCAGGUGGCUGGGACUGUUUAUUAAAAACACAGCACUGUGCAAAAUCGCAAGAUGACGUAUACGGUGUGACACCUGCCCGGUGCCGGAAGGUUAAUUGAUGGGGUUAGUUUUCGGACGAAGCUCUUGAUCGAAGCCCCGGUAAACGGCGGCCGUAACUAUAACGGUCCUAAGGUAGCGAAAUUCCUUGUCGGGUAAGUUCCGACCUGCACGAAUGGUGUAACCAUGGCCACGCUGUCUCCACCCGAGACUCAGUGAAAUUGAAAUCGCAGUGAAGAUGCUGUGUACCCGCGGCUAGACGGAAAGACCCCGUGAACCUUUACUACAGCUUGGCACUGAACAUUGAACCUACAUGUGUAGGAUAGGUGGGAGACUUAGAAGAUGAGACGCUAGUUUUGUUGGAGUCGUCCUUGAAAUACCACCCUUGUAGUUUUGAUGUUCUAACGUUGGCCCCUGAAUCGGGGUUACGGACAGUGCCUGGUGGGUAGUUUGACUGGGGCGGUCUCCUCCCAAAGAGUAACGGAGGAGCACGAAGGUUGGCUAAGUACGGUCGGACAUCGUACGGUUAGUGUAAUGGUAGAAGCCAGCUUAACUGCGAGACAGACACGUCGAGCAGGUACGAAAGUAGGUCAUAGUGAUCCGGUGGUUCUGAAUGGAAGGGCCAUCGCUCAACGGAUAAAAGGUACUCCGGGGAUAACAGGCUGAUACCGCCCAAGAGUUCAUAUCGACGGCGGUGUUUGGCACCUCGAUGUCGGCUCAUCACAUCCUGGGGCUGAAGUCGGUCCCAAGGGUAUGGCUGUUCGCCAUUUAAAGUGGUACGCGAGCUGGGUUUAGAACGUCGUGAGACAGUUCGGUCCCUAUCUGCCGUGGGCGUUUGAGAAUUGAGAGGGGUUGCUCCUAGUACGAGAGGACCGGAGUGAACGAACCGCUGGUGUUCGGGUUGUCAUGCCAAUGGCAUUGCCCGGUAGCUACGUUCGGAACUGAUAAGCGCUGAAAGCAUCUAAGCGCGAAGCAGGCCUCGAGAUGAGUUCUCACUAGACUUUUAAAGUCUCUGAAGGGCCGUUGAAGACUACAACGUUGAUAGGCAAGAUGUGGAAGUGGUGUGAGCCAUUAAGCUAACUUGUACUAAUUACCCGUGAGGCUUAACCAUACAACGCCAAACGCGUUU